CGCGUCAGUCAGCGCGGGGUUUCUUUGCUGCUCACGGACGCUGGACUCGCUGCUCGGGAUGGAGAAGCAGCUCGCCGAAAAAAGGCUUUCAGUGAGGGACAGUGUCACAGUUGAUCCAAGGAAGGCAAGGAAGAUGAAGGUCAUCCACAUAAAUGCUUUUAAUUGGAAUCCACACUAUACACGAAAGGAGGUCAUGGGUGCAGGUAAUUAAACUGGAGAGGGAGAGGUUUUCCAGCUCUCUCUGCCAGCUGCUAUGGGCCAGUAUUAUACAGACUGCUGCUGACCCAGCGCCCUGACAGAGACACAGAGGCUAUGAGAGAACACAAAAAACAUUUCUGCCCAGCAGAGGACACACACACAGAAAUUCGCUCAUACACAUACACACAAUGGAACUGCUGUGUUUUCAUAUUACAGUGCUUACAGGACAGGACUGAUAUUAAACCUUCUGGUUAGGAUUAUUUCUAACCCCCUCACUCUUAAGUAUUCAAUGCCUGCAAUUAAUUCAGUCUGAAUAACAUAAAGGCUAAAUUCAAACUUGAAUUCAAACCCCAAAAUGCUAAUUUUGUCACAUCAUUUACUCA
rnacentral:lncRNA from 1 species